rnacentral:rRNA from 1 species
GAUGAACGCUGGCGGCGUGCCUAAUACAUGCCAGUCGAGCGAACGGACGAGAAGCUUGCUUUUCUGAUGUUAGCGGCGGACGGGUGAGUAACACGUGGAUAACCUACCUAUCAGACUGGGAUAACUUCGGGAAACCGGCGCUAAUACCGGAUAAUCUUUUGAACCGCAUGGUUCAAAAGUGAAAGACGGUCUUGCUGUCACUUAUCGCUGGAUCCGCGCUGCAUUAGCUAGUUGGUACGGUAACGGCCUACCAAGGCAACGAGGCAUAGCCGACCUGAGAGGGUGAUCGGCCACACUGGAACUGAGACACGGUCCAUACGACUAAGGGAGGCAGCAGUAGGGAAUGUGACGCAAUGGGCGAAAGCCUGACGGAGCAACGCCGCGUGAGUGAUGAAGGUCUUCGGAUCGUAAAACUCUGUUAUUAGGGAAGAACAUAUGUGGAAGUAACUGUGCACAGCUUGACGGUAACUAAUCAGAAAGCCACGGCUAACUACGUG